GUCUAUUCAUUCAUCGACAGGCGCCGAAAUGACAUCCACUCUCCCGAAUGAUUUUAAAUCAACCUGUGUCUCUUCAGCACAUUGCGCUACGGGCAUUUUAUAUGCAUUUGGAUUGAGUCCUGGUUUGUCCAAUUGACGUCAUAUUAAUACUAUAAACCUCCUUGGAGUCUCGCAAAUUUUACAUUUUAGUACUAAUUUUCGUUCGAAGUUUAGUUCUGUCGUAACUGAAUGCCUAAUCCUGUAUAGUUGUAGAGAUUUUACUAGAAGCCGAGUACAUUGAAUUGUUACUCAUUUGUUUUAAGAAGACUAUUGGAAUCCUUAGU